rnacentral:rRNA from 1 species
CUCAGUAACACGUGGAUAAUUUGCCCUUAGGUGGAGGAUAACCUCGGGAAACUGAGAACAAUACUCCAUAGAUCUAGGAUGCUGGAAUGCAUUUAGAUUAAAAGCUCCGGCGCCUAAGGAUAAGUCUGCGGACUAUCAGGUUGUAGUCAGGGUAAAGGCCUGACUAGCCUACAACGGAUACGGGUUGUGAGAGCAAUAACCCGGAGACGAUAUCUGAGACACGAUAUCGGGCCCUACGGGGCGCAGCAGGCGCGAAACCUUCGCACUGUGCGAAAGCGCGAUGAGGGGAUCCCAAGUGCUUGCUCGUAAGAGUAAGCUGUUUUUAUGUCUAAAAAGCAUAGAGAGUAAGGGCUGGGUAAGACGGGUGCCAGCCGCCGCGGUAAUACCUGCAGCUCAAGUGGUGAUCAUUAUUAUUGGGCCUAAAACGUCCGUAGCCGGUUUGGUAAAUGCCUGGGUAAAUCGUGUAGCUUAACUAUACGAAUUCCGGGUAGACUGCCAAACUUGAGACCGGGAGAGGCUAGAGGUACUCCUGGGGUAGAGGUGAAAUUCUGUAAUCCUAGGGGGACCACCAGUGGCGAAGGCGUCUAGCUAGAACGGGUCUGACGGUCAGGGACGAAGCCCUGGGGCGCGAACCGGAUUAGAUACCCGGGUAGUCCAGGGUGUAAACGCUGCUUGCUUGAUGUUAGUUGGGCUCCGAGCCCGAUUAGUGUCGGAGAGAAGUUGUUAAGCAAGCUGCCUGGGAAGUACGGUCGCAAGACUGAAACUAAAG